rnacentral:rRNA from 1 species
GAACUGGGUAUAGGGGCGAAAGACUAAUCGAACCAUCUAGUAGCUGGUUCCCUCCGAAGUUUCCCUCAGGAUAGCUGGCACUCGGGAGAACCGCGCUCAUCGCGCAAUAGCACGAGUCUCAUCCGGUAAAGCGAAUGAUUAGAGGCAUUGGGGUCGAAACGGCCUCAACCUAUUCUCAAACUUUAAAUGGGUGAGAUCUCCGGCUUGCUUGAAAAGCUCGGGUGAAGCCGGAGAUCGGAUCAACGGGUGCCAAGUGGGCCACUUUUGGUAAGCA